rnacentral:lncRNA from 1 species
AUAAAACUGAAAUUCUAUCUAAAUAGAAUAGAGCACAGGUUGAAGAACAGGUUAAUUGUGAAGUUCACUAAGUCUUAUUUAUGAUGGAGAUACAAAAUUGGAUGAUGUACAUAUGCAGAAAAUGCUUUUGUGCUUUUGAAACGAAUACUGACUAUUCCAGCCAAGAAGAGUACUAACAGUUAAGAGAUCUGAAAUGUAGCUCAUUCCUUGAUAAACUGAGAGAUGGACAGUGUGAUGAUUAUUCUGUUAAUUUCUAUUCUGGAGGAACAACAUAAUACCAUAAGAACACAGGACACCAUUUCCUCAACUAAAGAUAUUUCUAAUCACCAGAGUAAACAAUCAGAAACCAAACUGAGGAUCAGCAACGUGCCUUGCAUGCUGAUGAGCAAGCCAAAACAACGUCAUUAUUGAAAGAGCUAACACAGCACAGAAAUGUGGGGAUACUAUAGCAGACUAU